GAUGAAGAACGCAGCGAAAUGCGAUAAGUAAUGUGAAUUGCAGAAUUCAGUGAAUCAUCGAAUCUUUGAACGCACAUUGCGCCCGCCAGUAUUCUGGCGGGCAUGCCUGUUCGAGCGUCAUUACAACCCUCAGGCCCCCGGGCCUGGCGUUGGGGAUCGGCGGAAGCCCCCUGCGGGCACAACGCCGUCCCCCAAAUACAGUGGCGGUCCCGCCGCAGCUUCCAUUGCGUAGUAGCUAACACCUCGCAACUGGAGAGCGGCGCGGCCACGCCGUAAAACACCCAACUUCUCAGGUUGACCUCAGAUCAGGUAGGAAUACCCGCUGAACUUAAGCAUAUCAAUAAGCGGAGGA
rnacentral:misc_RNA from 1 species